GAUGAACGCUGGCGGCGUGCCUAAUACAUGCAAGUCGAGCGAACAGACGAGGAGCUUGCUCCUCUGACGUUAGCGGCGGACGGGUGAGUAACACGUGGAUAACCUACCUAUAAGACUGGGAUAACUUCGGGAAACCGGAGCUAAUACCGGAUAAUAUAUUGAACCGCAUGGUUCAAUAGUGAAAGACGGUUUUGCUGUCACUUAUAGAUGGAUCCGCGCCGCAUUAGCUAGUUGGUAAGGUAACGGCUUACCAAGGCGACGAUGCGUAGCCGACUUGAGAGGGUGAUCGGCCACACUGGAACUGAGACGCGGUCCAGACUCCUACGGGAGGCAGCAGUAGGGAAUCUUCCGCAAUGGGCGAAAGCCUGACGGAGCAACGCCGCGUGAGUGAUGAAGGUCUUCGGAUCGUAAAACUCUGUUAUUAGGGAAGAACAAAUGUGUAAGUAACUAUGCACGUCUUGACGGUACCUAAUCAGAAAGCCACGGCUAACUACGUG
rnacentral:rRNA from 1 species